UGGGGAAUUUUGGACAAUGGGGGAAACCCUGAUCCAGCCAUCCCGCGUGUGCGAUGAAGGCCUUCGGGUUGUAAAGCACUUUUGGCAGGAAAGAAACGUCAUGGGUUAAUACCCCGUGAAACUGACGGUACCUGCAGAAUAUGCACCGGCUAACUACGUGCCAGCAGCCGCGGUAAUACGUAGGGUGCAAGCGUUAAUCGGAAUUACUGGGCGUAAAGCGUGCGCAGGCGGUUCGGAAAGAAAGAUGUGAAAUCCCAGAGCUCAACUUUGGAACUGCAUUUUUAACUACCGGGCUAGAGUGUGUCAGAGGGAGGUGGAAUUCCGCGUGUAGCAGUGAAAUGCGUAGAUAUGCGGAGGAACACCGAUGGCGAAGGCAGCCUCCUGGGAUAACACUGACGCUCAUGCACGAAAGCGUGGGGAGCAAACAGG
rnacentral:rRNA from 1 species